rnacentral:rRNA from 1 species
ACUGACUGCUAUCCGGAUUGAUACUAAGCCAUGACGAGUCAUUGUAGUAAUACAAGGCAGACGGCUCAGUAACGCGUAGUCAACCUAACCUAUGGACGGGAAUAACCUCGGGAAACUGAGUAUAAUGCCCGAUAGAACAUUAUGCCUGGAAUGGUUUAUGUUCCAAAUGAUUUAUCGCUGUAGGAUGGGACUGCGGCCUAUCAGUUUGUUGGUGAGGUAAUGGCCCACCAAGACUAUUACGGGUACGGGCUCUGAGAGGAGUAGCCCGGAGAUGGGUACUGAGACACGGACCCAGGCCCUAUGGGGCGCAGCAGGCGAGAAAACUUUGCAAUGUGCGAAAGCACGACAAGGUUAAUCCGAGUGGUUUCUGCUAAAGGAACCUUUUGUCGGUCCUAGAAACACCGAUGAAUAAGGGGUGGGCAAGUUCUGGUGUCAGCCGCCGCGGUAAAACCAGCACCUCAAGUGGUCAGGAUGAUUAUUGGGCCUAAAGCAUCCGUAGCCGGCUCUGUUAGUUUUCGGUUAAAUCUGUACGCUCAACGUACAGGCUGCCGGGAAUACUGCAGAGCUAGGGAGUGGGAGAGGUAGACGGUACUCGGUAGGAAGGGGUAAAAUCCUUUGAUCUAUUGAUGACCACCUGUGGCGAAGGCGGUCUACCAGAACACGUCCGACGGUGAGGGAUGAAAGCUGGGGGAGCAAACCGGGAUUAGAUACCCGGGUAGUCCCAGCUGUAAACUAUGCAAACUCAGUGAUGCAUUGGCUUGUGGCCAAUGCAGUGCUGCAGGGAAGCCGUUAAGUUUGCCGCCUGGGAAGUACGUACGCAAGUAUGAAACUUAAAGGAAUUGGCGGGGGAGCAC